GAGCUGAUGAACUAAUGGAAUUUUAUAAGUCAGAUUUGAAAUUGAAGAAGUUCUUGCACAUAAUAGAGAACUCGCCUUUGUGUUCCUGUUAUCUAUGAUUCAAAGAGCUCCCUCCUCAUACAAUUCAUAUUUGACCGUCGAUGAUCAAGGUUGAAAAGGACCCGAAGCUUUUAGAUAUCAGGACCGUUGAUGCACUCGAAAUAGUACAAACAAGCUCUGGGAGAUGCAAAUAGUGUCUUCUCUAGUAAACGAGCAGCUCUAAGAGGUAGUAUUCUUCUGAACAUUUGGACUGUUGAAAUAUUGUCUAUUCUUAAAACAGUCCAAAAAGAGAUUUUUCUCCAAUUUUUUUUCUAUACUUGGAUGUGCUUCUUUUAUUUUCUUGAUUCGAAAUAUGCAUAAGUAAAAAAAUGCA